GUACCUUGCCAUUAAUUCUCAAUUUCUCAUAGUAUCAUCCCUCGAAAGUCUCCAAGGUGUCCAUCCAUCUCUAAACCUUAAAGUCCUUUUUCAUUUGUCUUUCAUCAGAUUAUUUGCUUUCUUCCUCUUGCUUGUUUUCAUUGUUUCAAAUCCAUACCCCACUUUUGUUUCAUAUUGCAAAUUGUGUAAGAUCACUCCAUGUUGGUAGAUGAAGAUGGGUUGCCAAUUCAGGAGUUUUAUGUUUCAAUCGGCAUACAUUAGGAUGGAGUAAAAAAAUGCAGAACGACCGUUCAUGGUUUCAGAGAGGGCACCAGCUAUGAGUGGAUGCUUAAGGUGUAAAGGUGAUGUUGUUGAGGACCCGAGGCUCGGCAAGGUCAUUCAACUGCAAGGUAACCAAGGGCUGGACGUUGGGAAAUGUGUUGUUAAUAGUGGCUUUGCCUGCAGGCAACAAGUUAGCAUUCUGGAAUUUGAUGGGCAAUAUAAGGUGAUUAAUAAGGUCUGGUAAUGGGCUCGAAAUGCUGUGUUUCAGCACUGCUAAGUUCAUGAAUAAAGCUUGCAAUAUGUUACAAGGUU